AAGUCGUAACAAGGUUUCCGUAGGUGAACCUGCGGAAGGAUCAUUAACACGUAUCCAAACGUAAAAAACCCCCCCCGUGAACAUUCAAUCCUGCUCUUGUAACCCGCGUAGUUCGCAAUCUCUGGUAAAUCAUAGCCCGGAAAUCAGUUACAAUCGAGCGGUAGUUUCAUAGGCAUUGUUUCCCCAAGCAGUCAGUGUCUGAAAGUGUCACUGAUUGUGCAAGGAUAGCGCUUCAACGAUUCCUGUAGACCGUACACUCGGGCAGGAGCUAUGCCAAAGGGUCCCCAUGCCCCCUUAUAACCCCACAGUUUAAUGUGAAGCUCAAUGUAAUACAUUGGGUAAAAAAACCGAACAACUGUUAACAAUGGAUAUCUUGGUUCUC
rnacentral:misc_RNA from 1 species